rnacentral:rRNA from 1 species
GCCCAGCACCGAAUCCUUCACCAUCUCGGUGACAGGAAAUGUGGUGUUUAGGCCGUACCUUGUCCCGACACGUCUCUCCUCAAGUCCACUUGAUUGUGGCCCCAGGCCCAGAGAGGGUGUAAGGCCCGUGGAGGCGAGACGUUCGGUACCUGGUGCGUCCUUAGAGUCGGGUUGUUUGGGAAUGCAGCCCUAAGCGGGUGGUAAACUCCAUCCAAGGCUAAAUACCAGCACGAGUCCGAUAGCGAAGAAGUACCGCGAGGGAAGGUUGAAAAGAACUUUGAAGAGAGAGUUCAAGAGUACGUGAAACCGCUGAGAGGCAAACUGGUGGAACUGAAAUGGUCCCGAGGAAUUCAGCCGUUGGUCGUUGCACAGUCUUUGGUGAUUGAUCUAACGACGGCGCCAUUGAAUGACGUUUCGAUCAUCGGUGCACUUUCCUCGCCUGGGCCCGACCACGACCGGUGAGCUGAUCUGUCUGUCGUGCUUGGAAGAUAGCGCCGUCUUCGGAAGGCGUGUUAUAGACAGGCAUACGGAGCAGUCGGCGCACUGGAUGAUAGUGCCUGCCCAUCUGGGCUCAUAUGGUGGUUGUUUUGUUGGCGAGUUCUGAUGUCACUACUUCGGUAGAGUCGUUAGACUCUGUUGGCAUUAUGGCUGUCCUCUAUGAUUGGCACUGUUAAGUCUGUGGUUGUGAAGUAGGUAGUCCACCUGACCCGUCUUGAAACACGGACCAAGGAGUCUAACAUGUGCGCGAGUCAUUGGGUUCACGAAACCUAAAGGCGCAGUGAAGGUAAAGAUCUGUUUUGGCAGAUUGAGGUGGGAUGCCGGGUUACGCGCCCGGCCGCACUACCGGCCCGUUCUAUAUGUCUUUCAUAGGAGCGGAGCAAGAGCGUACACGUUGGGACCCGAAAGAUGGUGAACUAUGCUUGCGCAGGUCGAAGCCAGAGA